GUCGAUUUGGUCCUAGUCCCCCAAUUAGUUCUCUCUAAGAUGCCACAUGCAAGCUCAAUAACUAUCCAGUGAAGUAAAAAGCCAAAGAUUUCCAACCUCAAAAGAAGGAAAAAUUAGCCCCUCAGCAUCAAGCCCAAAAGAAAGCCGACAACGCUGAGCAAUACGCCACAACUGCAGUGCUAAACAUUAAACAAUUAAGAAAACUUAGAUUUAGCAAAAGAGAAAAAGGGAGGUAAAAUACGUGCCAGCCACCGCGGUUAUACGUACUUCCUAAAACUAACAACAACGGUAAAAAGGGCGGUUAAGAAAAAACUUUUAAAUUUAGCUCUAAGAAAGCGGUAAAAAGCUAACCUUAGUAGAAAACCCCAAAAUUAAUCACAAAUCCGAACCCGCGAAAGCCAAGACAUAAACCAGGAUUAGAUACCCUGUUAUACAUGGCCCUAAACCAAUAAAAACACCAGAGAAUUACAAACUAUAAGUUUAAAACUCAAAGGACUUGGCGGUUUUCCAAAUCUUCCUGGAGGAGCUUGCCGUUGAAUCGAUAAUCCACGAAACACCUCACCAUUUCUUGAAAAACCCAGCCUGUAUACCAUCGUCGUAAGUUUACUUCCCAAGAAAGUUAACAAAAAGAAAGAUACCCCAGACGUCAGAUCAAGGUGCAGCCAAUGAAAUGGGAACAGGUGAGCUACAAUGUCUUAUCAAGCCAGUGAAAGUUUUAUUGAAAUAAUUGACAGAAAUUGGAUUCAGUAGUAUUAUACAAAUAGAAAGAGGAUAAGAAAAGAGCUCUGGAAUGCGUACACAUCGCCCGUCACUCUCGCCUAGUAAACUUACAAGGGGAGAAAAGUCGUAACACAAUAGGCUCACCGGAAGGUGAGCCUGGUAA
rnacentral:ncRNA from 1 species